AUUGAACGCUGGCGGCAGGCCUAACACAUGCAAGUCGAGCGGCAGCGGGAAAGUAGCUUGCUACUUUUGCCGGCGAGCGGCGGACGGGUGAGUAAUGCCUGGGAAAUUGCCCAGUCGAGGGGGAUGACAGUUGGAAACGACUGCUAAUACCGCAUACGCCCUACGGGGGAAAGCAGGGGACCUUCGGGCCUUGCGCGUUUGGAUAUGCCCAGGUGGGAUUAGCUAGUUGGUGAGGUAAUGGCUCACCAAGGCGACCAUCCCUAGCUGGUCUGAGAGGAUGAUCAGCCACACUGGAACUGAGACACGGUCCAGCGUCCUACGGGAGGCAGCAGUGGGGAAUAUUGCACAAGGGGGGAAACCCUGACGCAGCCAUGCCGCGUGUGUGAAGAAGGCCUUCGGGUUGUAAAGCACUUUCAGCGAGGAGGAAAGGUUGAUGCCUAAUACGUAUCAACUGUGACGUUACUCGCAGAAGAAGCACCGGCUAACUCCGUGCCAGCCGCCGCCGUAAGAC
rnacentral:rRNA from 1 species